rnacentral:rRNA from 1 species
AACGAACGCUGGCGGCAUGCCUAACACAUGCAAGUCGAACGAGACCUUCGGGUCUAGUGGCGCACGGGUGCGUAACGCGUGGGAACCUGCCCUUAGGUUCGGAAUAACUCCCCGAAAGGGGUGCUAAUACCGGAUAAUGUCUUCGGACCAAAGAUUUAUCGCCGUUGGAUGGGCCCGCGUUGGAUUAGCUAGUUGGUAGGGUAAUAGCCUACCAAGGCGACGAUCCAUAGCUGGUCUGAGAGGAUGGUCAGCCACACUGGGACUGAGACACGGCCCAGACUCCUACGGGAGGCAGCAGUGGGGAAUAGUGGACAAUGGGCGAAAGCCUGAUCCAGCAAUGCCGCGUGAGUGAUGAAGGCCUUAGGGUUGUAAAGCUCUUUUACCCGGGAUGAUAAUGACAGUACCGGGAGAAUAAGCUCCGGCUAACUCCGUG